rnacentral:tRNA from 1 species
UUGAGUAUUAUUUUAAAAUAAAAUUUAUUUUUUCCAAAAAUAAGAUCCGUUGUAUAAGGAUACUUGAA